rnacentral:lncRNA from 1 species
AUUUUGCCAUUGUCGGUGCAAGUGCAUCAUCUUACUAUACCAUUAUUUAUUAUGCCGUAAUAACGGAACUUAUCGUAAUAUCUGUAAUUUAUGAUAAAAAAUUUCCGACUUCACUUAAAAACAAAACUAAAGGAGUGUUGUUCUCUUAUAUAUAUUUUUAUAUGUAAUGUAUAUACACAACACUCCUCAAAGAGAGGGAAAAAAAUUAAAGGGAGGCCAAUCGUCACGAUUUUUCCAUUACCUGCAUCAAAUGAUUGUUAUUUGGACUUUUAUGGAAGAAUGACUAAAAACAGAUACAAUUGAAACAUUUUGGAGUAUUUUUCAUGGAAUAAUAUGUGGAAAAAAAAAUGAAUAUAUUUCGAC